rnacentral:lncRNA from 1 species
GAGAGGUUAAAAGAUAGAACAGUCUAGCCAAGUGCCAUGUCUCUUAUUCUUGAUCAGCUAUAGCUCUGGUGUUUUUGCAGAUUUUCAAAUAAAACUCAGAGAUUCUUUGUAUGACUCUCUCAGAUCUCUCUUUUGUGGUAUUUUUGGAUCCUUACCAACCCAGUGAUGGUAUAUGCCUUCUCUCAAGAUAUGUAGUAUUUUUGGUGUAAAGCAUAGUGACAUUGCCUUCUCUCUCACCCUACUCUAAUAAGGCUUUUAUAUCUGGAGCUCAUAGGUGGAAGAUAAAGUAUACAUACUUACAAGACAUUUAUUGUAUAGUCAAACCAUGGAUCCAAAGAAACAAAUCAAUAAGCCAAAUCAAGAUGUGCAUGUGUGGCGAAUGAAUGGUGUAUGGUGAUGAUGGUAAUAACAAUGGUGAAAGUCUAAUUCUACUUUUGCUCUUUUGAGGGGAUACAUACCUUCCUUGCUUUUUGAAUUUAUGAGGAGAAUGAGAUGCUCUCUCUUUUUUUUUCUCAGGUGGGUAUCUUGUACCCCUAAUUCUACUGUCGGACACUUGUCCAUUUUUACCUCUCGUCUCACUUUUUCUUUUCUUUCGAGGUUCCGAGCACUUGCUCCUUUUUAUUUCCUCGUAUCUUCUUUUUUUUAGAGCACUCAUCUCUUGAGAUAAUAUAGCAAGUGGUAGUAACAAGAUAACUUGAGCAUUUAUUUCACAAUGGAAAACAGAAAUAUUUUUGGUUAUUCUCUCCCGGAUUAGGAGUAGAAUAUUUUUAGGUGGUUCUGGAGAUGGAAAUGGAUGGAUAUAUGUGGAUGGUACUUCCGGAGUAGAAGUAGCAUAUAUGAGUGAUCGUGCAAGUGAAUCUUGAUUUAACCACAUGACUAGCUCCUAAGGGUCUACACAGCUUGACCACACUCAAUGCUCAUAAGCAGUAAAUAGUAAAUGUGUGGCUCAAAGUCUAGCAAGCAUGUAUAUAUAGCUGUAGUAGGAAUUUAAACUCUCAUCAUACAAGAACUCAUCAUGCAACAUUUUAAAGAUUUUCAAAGAUAAAAUUCUCCAGAAUUCUAGCAUCUCUAGAAACAGAUAAACAGCAGCUCAGCCUUCCCAUAUCGUAUCCGUUAACAACUUAAACUUCAGAUCAAGUUUUCAUCCCACAAGUUUAGGUUUAAAUUAUAACAGUUAUAUCUAAACUUGAGAGAGAACUUAAAAUGUGCAAAUUAGGCAGAGCAACUAUUCAUCAUAUCCAUGCUUAAGUUUUAUUAAGAUACAGAUUAGCAUAGCCACUUUAUUUAUUUAUUAAACACGCUAAGCAAAAGACAUAUAUAUAUAAGCAUAAAAUCUUUAUUUGGUUUUUUAUAGUUAUGUAUACUUAUAUUCUAAAAUAAUAUAAGUAUAAAGACAGAUAGAAAUACUUAUCGAGAUAAAUGGGGGUGCUCUCCCCCAAGCUGAAUUUUGACGUAAUUUCUCUUGAUGUAGCUAGCUGGUGGCAGAGGUGUAUUUGAAAGUCAGCAGCAUUCUGACAGCGAUUAGAAUGUCCUCCGUCUGCUAGUCUUCUUGAUUCUUAAAUUCUGUGGAGCUCAAAUAGACAACAAAGCUUGUGGAACUUGAUUAAGUGUUAGCAUAAAUAUCUAGCCUUUAUCUUGUUGAGACUCCUUAAUAAUUAUUACUCCCUGUUUUUAUAUUUUCAUUUUUAUAGAGCAGCAAGAAAUAUUUAUUUUAUUUUUAUGCCACCACAGUGAAUGUACUUAUGGGUUUUAUGCCACUCGUCUACUCACAUGGGGCUUACUGUUUUUUCAUAUUUUUAUUUUCUUUUCAAGAUAGCAUGAUUAACUAAUAAUCUAUUUAAGGAAAGUAAAUAAUCAAAGGGAAAAGAUAACUACCAAGUUUACCUCUUGGCAAGGCGUUCGGUGUUUUUAAGUCCUCCGAACGGGACUCUCCAUUUUCUUAAUUGUCCUGAGGUUCGUUGGGUGGCGUAGUCGGUACUUCCGGCAACGCCUCCUCUUCAUGUAUAGUUAUCUUCAUUUUCCACACCUGACUUGGUGCUUCAAUCUCCUCUGGAUAAUUCUGUUUAAACUCUACGUCUUCUGACCUUAUCGCUUCUCCUUCAUAGUCUGCCCAUCCGUCCUUGAUGAUCUGCCUCCUCUGGUUGCGGUUGCGUCUUUUCCUUACCUGCUUAGAUUCUUCAACGAUAUAGUUAGGGUCAGUAAAAUAAUGGCGUACCUUCUCUGAGGGGAAGUGCAUAUGGACUUCUCCGGUUCCAAUGUACAUAAUUGCUUUAACGGUGCUGAGGAACGGUCUUCCAAGGAUAAUGGGUGGAUCGUAUUCAUCUUCUCCCAUGUCAAUAACUUGAAAGUCUGUGUAGACAAAGUGAUCGUCUAUUUUGACUGGGACAUCAGUUACUAUUCCUUUAACUUCUCAAUACAUCUGAUCUGCCAUCUGGAGCUGAAUGUAUGUUGGUCUUAGUGGCAUGGUUCCGAACAAGAGCCGAUAGGUGACUGCGGCCAUUAUGUUGACACCCGAUCCGGUGUCACAAGUUGCCUUGUAGAAGUUGUAUCCAUUUAUGGAGCAAUAGAUGCUUGGCAUUCCUGGGUCGUCCUUCUUGGUCAAAAACGGUGACUUAAGUUGGUGAUCUUGGCCUCCAUGAACUACUGUGACCAUCUUAGCUAACUCAGUCCACACUUGCUUGUUCCUGUUCCUCUUGUUGGUCCUCUUCCUUGAUUCACGUCUGGAUUGAUUUGGAAUUUGUGUACUCUUGUUCUUGAAGAAAAAUGUCUCCUUCCUCCCUUUGACGUAGAAACUGAUCUUGGCAGCACUAGCGUAGAUGAUAGCUCCCGUGGUGUUCAAGAAUGGCCUCCCUAAGAUGAUAGGUGCCCUCUCAUCUUUUCCGGUCUCUACUACUACGAAGUCUGCUAGAGCAUAUAAGGUACCAACUCGGACGCAAAGGUUCUUCAAUAUUCCCUUUGGAAAAGUUAUCGUCUGAUCUGCAAACUGCAAACACAUGGUUGUCUCUAAUAAAGGAUAUGUAAAGAAUUUUUCAUAGAGUACCCUGGGUAUAAUGUUGACACUAGAGCCAAAGUCGCAGGGUGCUUCUGGAACGUCCACCAUGCCGAUGGAGAUCAGGAUGACGGGGCGUCCUGGAUCGCCUCUAUUGACCGGCAGAAGGUCAGUAGAGAAUUCAGUGACGGGGUUACUCCAAUUACCUGCAUCAAACAUGUCUACAAGAUUUGCAGAUUCUAAUCCUUCUGGUUGUGAUGGUAUACCGAGGUUAGUAGUAGGAACAGCAGCAGCUAUUUGAUUUAACUGGGAUUCAAUCAUUUUAUUAAAGCUAAUUUGAUUCUUGAUGGCAGUAGAGAAAUUAUCCAUUCUAUUAUUUAUAUAUUCUAGCAUUUUAUCAUUAGAUGCCAAUUUCUUAGAUAGGUUAUCCAUUAGCUUUCCUUGAUUAGACACUAACUCUCUCAGAGGUGGAAAAUUAUUAUUAUUGUUGUAAGAAUUGUUACCUUGAUAAUUACCUAAGUAGUUAGGCCUCUGUUGAUUCCAACCUUGAUUUUGUUGAGGACGGUUGUAGUAGUUGUUGUUGUUGUUGAUGUAGUUCACAUCCUCAAGCAUCUCAGGGCAGUGGUUGCCUGAGUGUCUAGUGUCUCCACACUCCUCACAAGUCAUGUGAGAGUCGUAGAUGUGCAUAACUUCUUUCUUGUCUCCAGCUCUAUCAUCGAGCUUCUUCAUGAGCAGGUCUAGCUUUGCAGACAGCAUGUCUACCUCCUUCAGCUGAUGCAUAACUCCACCUCUCUUGCGUGUCUGGGUCCUCUCUUCAUUCCAGCUUUGGUUGGACGCCAUCUUCUCCACAGGAGCUGUGGCUUGUGGUAUAGUAAGUGAUAAGAAUGCUCCUCCAGCUGCAGCAUCCAUGGUCUCUCGGGCACUGUUGCCGAGCCCAUGAUAAAACGUCUGCAUCAAUAGCCCACUCUCCAUUCCAUGAUGGGGGCAUUCUAGGAUGUAGUCUUGAAAGCGCUCCCAUGCUUCUGGAACAGAUUCAUUAUUUUGUUGCUGAAAACUUGUAAUAUUCCCACGGAGAGCAUUGGUCUUGCCCAUGGGAAAGAACUUAGCCAGGAAGUUUGUUGAGCAGAGUGCCCACGUAGUAUUCUUCUCCUUUGUAUCGUAGAACCACUGCUUCACUCUUCCUAACAGUGAGAAUGGGAAGAGGCGAAGUAGUAUAGCAUCUUUGGAAACUCCUGAUAUGGUGAAUGUGUUGCAAAUCUCCAGGAAGUGUUGUAAAUGAGCACUAGCAUCUUCGUGUGCCUUCCCACAGAACUGGUUGGAUUGCACCAUGUUGAUAAGUCCAGGCUUGAGCUCAAAGUUGCCGUCGAUCUCUGUAGCAGGUCCAGUGCGGAUGUUGUCCGUAGUGGGAGCGGAGAACUCGCGGAUUGAUUUGUUCGCCAUGGCUUCGAACUCUAAAGACAAGUUCCGGUGAUCUUCUUGAUUGGAUGAAGCUUCUUGCUAAAGUGUUGAUGAUCUCUUCUUGAGCUUGGCUCUCGUCUUCUUGAAUAAUGCUUCGGGAUUGUCAACAAAAUUUCCUAGAAGAUGUCUUCUAUUCAUACAUUCCCCUGCAUAAGAUAAAAUAGAAAAAUAUCGGGGUAAAACUGUAUGAGAGAAUAGAUAAGCUCAAUCAUAUUAGUGAUGCGAAUGAUAACUCAAAAUCUUUUAUUCCAUUCCUGAUUAGUAAUCAACCUUCCCCGGCAACGGCGCCAAAAAUGCUUGUUGGGUAUUCUUAACAUCAUUACCAAAAGUAGACUAAGUUUUCUAAAUCUAGUAACGGUGCCAAAAAUGCCAAACCUAUCCCUCACACCACGUAAGCCAAGUUGUCAACCCUAGCAUGACAUGAGAGACGCGGUAUUGAAAUAUGCAAUUGCUCUACUAAAUAAAUAAUGAAUGGGAUCUGCAAGCGCACAGAUUAAUACCGAUGCAACAUUUUAACCGGGAAGUAUUCCAGGUAUCGUUUUUUAUAUUUUUACCACUAGGAAGGGAUUAGCAAUCAUCAAUAUUGAUUACAGAAUAGAAUAUGAGAUUGAGCAUCUAUCAUUGCAUGUAUAAUUGAGAACAUUAUAUCUAACUCUUCAUACAGGGAUAAGUGUCACAUAAUAGAUAUAUGAAAUAAUAAUAGUGACAAGGAUAACUAAUUUGAUCUAGCCACAUAAUAAAUAUGAUAAGCACCUCAAUUAGAUACUCUAGAAAGUCAUUAGCAUGGUAUUAGAAUGAACUACAAGAAUAUUCCCUAAGUUAUUCUCAACUAUAUAGUCUAGCAUAUCAUAGUUAGUGCAAGCAUACUUAGCAAUCAUUGUGAGACAAGACUACGCCCAUGCAUAGUGAUAUUAGCAAGGAAUAUGAGAAACAUAGCAAUCACUCCCCUGUAAUAAUGUUGCUCUGCCAGCCCAAUACACGAGAGGGGGACUACAUAAGAAUCAAUGAAGCUGUCACUAUCACGAACCACCCCACGAUCUGGCAUAUUGGGUACAAUCGCAGAUAAAUACGGUAUAAGCACCACGCCUACACAAUAUCUAUCAUUUACCCAUGGAUCCGAUGGAUAAACGCUAUACGAUCCUAAGCAUGUAUAUAGAUCCAAUCUAACUAAGCCAAGUACAUAACUAUGAUAAACUAAGAACAAUAUAAUCUUGAAUAUAAGCAAGUAGAGCAAAGUCAUAAGCAAUAUAUUGAAGUAGAACAAAGUCAUAUUCAUAAUAUUGAAGAACAAAGAUAAUUAGAAAGUAAUUAGAAGCACAAUUAGAGAAUUACCAAGAAUCCUCCUGACAGAUCCGGAAACCAAUCGAAGAUUUACUCCUUCUAGCUCUAAUCCUAUGUAGCUAUGCUAAUCUCGAUAUCUAAUUGAUGUGGUGGCUCUAAUCUUGAUCAGAGGCUUCUUCUCCCUUGAGGAACAAUGAAUUAGGGUUGAGAGGCUCUCUCCUCCAGGGGCCAGGAGGUCUGGUUUUAUAGUCCCUUCAAGUGAAUAUGGGCCGUUGGAUCAAACUGACUUAGAUUGUAUGGUUUAGAUUCAUCCUUUAGGUCGGUGGAGAUCUCCCGCGAAGCAGAGUCCUGAUUGGACUCCAGAGGUGGGUGGGCGCCCAAGGGAACAGGGCGGGCGCCCUGCCUCUGGCCCCGUUUCGCCUCCGCUUUGGUCUCGUGGCUUCUGGAGUCUUCUAGAUGUAAGAUAAUUGCGCGGCACGUUAAUAUCUCUAUGUAAUCCCGAUGUGUGGGCCUUUCUUCCGUAUUUCCUGAUAACCCCCUGCAGAAAUAGACAAACACCAAAACUCAUGGAAUUCUGUCAGAUAAAACCCUAAGUCUAGAUGUUGAUUUCAUUUGGAUCCUUUUCUUUAUUUAUUUGAUAAUUAAAUUUGAUACUUAAGGACCGUUAACAUGGAGAAGCUGUCGAGAACUCCACCGAGCUUGCCUCGAAUCUCGAGGCCCUGGCCACAGAAGCCCCAGAGCCCAAGCGUCACGCGGGUAGCUUCGAGCUGGCAGAAGGAACGAAGGAGAUCCCGCUCGACCCCAACGGCUCCGACGGCAAGGUGCUGACGAUCAGCGCUGACCUCGACCCCAAAUAGGAAGCCGUGCUCGUCGACUUUCUCCAUGCAAAUGCUAACAUGUUUGCAUGGAGUCCCUCGGACUUGCCAGGCAUACCGAGGGAAGUCGCCGAGCACUCCUUGGAGAUUCGAGCCGGUUCCAAGCUAGUGAAACACCGGCUGCGUCGCUUCGACGAGGAGAAACGCAAGAUCAUCGGCGAGGAGAUCAGCAAGCUUUUGACGGCCUGAUUCAUCAAGGAUGUUCACCAUCCCGACUGGUGAGCAAAUCCUAUACUAGUUAAGAAAAAGAAUGGGAAAAUGAGGAUGUGUGUCGAUUACACAAGUUUGAAUAAAGCAUGUUCGAAAGUUCCCUUUCCUUUACCACGUAUUGAUCAAAUUGUUGAUUCUACCGCGGGAUGUGAAACCCUUUCUUUCCUUGAUGCAAACUCUGGAUACCAUAAAAUAAAAAAGAAAGAAUCCGACCAGCUCGUGAUGUCUUUCAUUACACCUUUUGGGAUGUACUGUUAUGUGACCAUGCCGUUCGGGCUUCGAAACACGGGAGCGACAUACCAACGAUGCAUGCUCCAUGUGUUUGGUAAACAUAUAGGGUCGAUGGUCGAGGCAUAUGUCGACGACAUCAUCUUCAAAUCAAAGAAACGAGGAGACCUCAUUCAGGACCUCGAAGAUCGCUUUCAGUUGCCUGCGCGCCAACAAGAUCAAGCUCAACCCCGAGAAGUGCAUCUUUGGCAUACCUCGAGGCAUGCUCUUGGGUUACAUAGUUUCCCAACGCGGCAUCAAGGCCAAUCCCAAAAAAGUCUCGGCCAUUACGAGAAUGGGGCCGAUCCGAGACGUCAAGGGAGUGCAAAAAGUCACGAGAUGUUUGGCGGCGCUAAGCCGUUUUAUCUCAAGGUUGGGGGAAAAGGCGUUGCCACUGUAUCGGCUCUUGAAAAAAGCCGAGCGUUUCUCUUGGACCCCCGAAGCCGAGGAAGCCCUCGAUAACCUGAAGAAAAUGCUGACCUCUGCCCCGGUCCUGGUCCCACCUUGGCCCGCAGAGCCUCUACUUCUGCACGUCGCCUCAACGAUCCAGGUGGUCAGUGCGGCGGUGGUGGUCGAAAGGCAGGAAGAAGGACAUGCGCUGCCGGUCCAGAGGUCGGUUUACUUCAUCAGCGAGGUACUCUUAGAGACCAAGGCACGAUAUCCAUAGAUCCAGAAACUAAUUUACGCAGUAAUCCUCGCCCGACGCAAGCUGCAACACUACUUCCUCGGCCACCCUAUCACGGUGGUCUCAUCAUUUCCUUUGGGUGAGAUCAUCCAAAGUCGGGAGGCCACGGGAAGAAUCGCCAAAUGGUCGGUCGAGCUCAUGAGUGAGACCCUCACUUAUGCGCCCCGCAAAGCCAUCAAGUCACAAGCUCUGGUGGAUUUCGUCACGGAAUGGACGGACUCCCAGCUCCCCCCGGCUCAAGUUCAAGCGGAGCUAUGGACCAUGUACUUCGAUAGGUCUCUCAAGAAGACGGCAGCUGGGGCGGGUCUGCUAUUUGUCUCACCCCUCGGCGUCCAUAUGAGGUAUGUCAUCAGAAUACAUUUUGCCGCGUCCAACAACAUCACGGAGUACGAAGCCCUUGUCAAUGGACUGAAGAUCGCCAUCGAGCUAGGAGUUCGGCGCCUCGACGUUGUUGGGUAUUUUAAACGCAAACAGAAAAAAUCCGCAAGCACACAGAUACUGAUGUAGCUUUCACCCGGGAGUAUUCCAGAGUAUUGAUUUUCCACAGGGAACGUGAGUGUACUAAUUUAGAUUCAAGAUCGCCUAAGGAUAACUAUAUAAUUAUUUUUGGUGGGAAGAGAGGAAGUUUCCUGAGAGUUCUCUAGUUCAUCUAAGAAUCAAGAAUUACUUCAAAGAUGAUUUAUUUCAGGACAUCAGAACACUAACCACAGAAAGAGAUGAGAAGGGGGCUAGGAAGCCCUGACUACGGUCCUACAAACAACGAUCCGAACGAGGUGGAAUACGUCGACCAUUAGGGCUCUCACUACCCUAGGGCUACCACAACAAUCCGCAGGAUUGCGUGGAAUUCCAGGUAAUUGCAAGACUAAACACCACGUCUAUUCUAUUAAUUACUACUCUAGCGUUAUAAUGACUAGAGCACUUGGUGCAAGCGGGAAUCCAAUAAAUAACUUGAAUGUAAAUAAAAUUAAUUAAAGAACUCAGGAAUUAUGAAUUGAAGAACUUGGAGAACGAUGAAUGACGAACCAGUUGCUGCAAAAGUACAAUGUAGAGGAAGAUCCGACAGAUCCGGCUCCUCCUCCUCCGCUCUCCUCUUCUCUCUCCCUAUUUUCUAGAUUACAACUAGAACGAACUAGAACUAGAACUAGAGGAACUAGAACUAGAUGAACUAGAACUAGAACUAGAUGAACAAGAGGGAUCCUCUCUACUUGGAUGAAGAAUUGAAACCCUAGCUUUGAUUCUGUAGAAGAGGUAUGAUCUCCAAGGGCCAGGGGGCCUUGCUUAUAUAGUCUUUUCAGAUAAAUCUGGGCCGUCGGAUCAAACCGACAUUAAUCGCAAGGUUUUCCUUGAUCCCUUAGGUCGGUGGAGCAUGAUCCGCGAAACGUGUCCUGAUUGACUCUGGAAGUGGGGGGGCGCCCUGUCCCUGAGCCCUCUCGGCCUCCGCUUCGUUCCCGUGACUUCUGGAGUCUUCUAGAUGAUAAAAAAUUGCACGGCACGUUAAUAUCUCUAUGUAAACCCGACGUGUGGGCCUUUCUUCCGUAUUUCCUGAUAACCCCCUAUAGAAAUAGACAAACACCAAAACUCGUGGAAAUCUGUUAGAUGAAACCCUAAGUCUAGGUGUCGGUUGCAUUUGGAUCCUUUUCCAUGAUUAGCUGAUGGUUAAAUGUGAGCAUUAAGGACCGUCAACAAGCUCCGCCAAGCUUAACCUUUGCUCGUCCCUGAGCAAAGAUGAACUCAAGAGUUUCUGCAAUGGUUUUAUGCCUUAAAGGUACACAUGCGUUCAAACAAGAUCUCAUCUCUGGGUUAGGGUAAACUUUUAAGAUUUAUACUUACUCAUUUUACCUUCCACCAAGGGGCUUGCAAGCGUCACUUGUGUCUUGAGUAGUUAAAAGAUAGAAUGGUCGAAUCAAGCGCCAUGUCUCUUGUUCUUCGAUUAACUAUAGCUCUGGAGUUUUGGCAGAUUUUCAAAUAAAAAUCAGAGAUUCCUUGUAUGACUCUCACUAGUCUCUCUUUUGUGGUAUUUUUGGAUCCUUACCAAGGCAAUAAUGUUAUAUGCCUUCUCUCAAUGUAUGUGGUGUUUCUGGUAUGAGGCAUAGUGACAUUGCCUUCUCUCUCACCCUACACUAAUAAGGUUUUGAUAUCUGGAGCUCAUAGGUGGAAGACAGCUAAUACAUACUUACAUGGCAUUUAUUGCAUAGUCAAACCAUGGAUCCAGAAGAACAAGUCAAUAAGUCAAAUCAAGAUGUGCAUGUGUGGUGAAUGAAUGGUGAUAAUGGUGAUGAUGGUGAUAACAAUGGUGAAAGUCUAAUUCUACUUUUGCUCUUUUGAGGGGAUAUAUACCUUUCUUGCUCUUUUGAAACUUUUUGAGGAGAAUGAGAUCCUGUAUAUGUUCUUUUUCUUUUCUCUCAGGUGGGUAUCUUGUACCCCUAAUUCUACUGUCGAACACUUGUCCAUUUUUACCUCUCGUCUCACUUUUUCUUUCUUUCGAGGUUCCGGGC